UACGAAGGGGGCUAGCGUUGCUCGGAAUCACUGGGCGUAAAGCGCACGUAGGCGGUCUCUUAAGUCGGUGGUGAAAUCCUGGAGCUCAACUCCAGAACUGCCUUCGAUACUGGGAGUCUCGAGUCCGGGAGAGGUGAGUGGAACUGCGAGUGUAGAGGUGAAAUUCGUAGAUAUUCGCAAGAACACCAGUGGCGAAGGCGGCUCACUGGCCCGGUACUGACGCUGAGGUGCGAAAGCGUGGGGAGCGAACAGG
rnacentral:rRNA from 1 species